UGAAGGUGAAGGUUCCAAAUGUUUAAAUUGACAAAAUAAUUGUCACUAAACAUCAAUGUCAUGAAAUUACAAUAACAUUUACCAUCAAAAUUUUUCUGUGGCUUUGGUAAUCCAAAGAGUUCCCAAUGCAUACAUCUAUUGUGAAUAACCAGUCCCUGAGAUGGAUUUUGGUACCAGCAGCCACAGCAGUAGCUGCUGCCAAGGAUGGAACCAACUGCGAUCCAAAACCAAACCUGAUCUGUAAGCGCAGCCAGUUACCCAUUUAUGUGGACGAGCCGGAACAGAAACAGGAAGUUGUGAUUACUGAGAAAGAUGACACAAUCGAUGUUAUUGCAGAUUAUGUUGGAACUGUUAGGAAAACCAUCAAAAGUGCUGUUGAUGAAGUCAAAGCGUACGCCUCUGUGGGGGAGGACGCAAUUAAUCAGACCAAAGAGAACUUAGAUGGACUUGUGGACUUUCUAAGGAAAGAAGAAAACACAGUACCCAGGGCGGGGGCAAUCGCCAUCGGCGCUCUAGCAGGUUUGAUAUUGGGACUUAGGGGUAGAUGGUUCAAGAGAACCAUCUAUUCGACGGCUGGAGGUUUGGCCAUGGCCGCCGUUUGCUAUCCCAAAGAGGCAGCUGAAUAUUCCCAAGUGGGUCUUGAUGAGGCCAAAAAAUACGUUACUAUUGGCUAUAAUUUCGUACAAGGAGUAGGUGAAGAUGAUCCGCCAGUAGAACUGCCCAGCCUUCCAUCACUGCCAACUUCUCUGACGGAAGCCUGGGAAUCCGUGAAAUCAACCGCUACAUCGCUUGUUUCAGAUACUCAACAACAGGUAGGCAAAACAUAUUCACCCAUUGAAGGUGGUAGUGCAAAAAGAGUUGACGAAAUUGAAGAAAAUGAGGAAAAGGAAGAGAUUGUGUGUGAUGUCUUUGAAGACAUUGAACCAGAGUGUGAUCCUUGUGACCCCCCCGCUGAAAAUGAACCUUGUCCUGAAACCAGUUCCUAAUUGACAAGUCUGGAUUCUCUUCCAAUACGCAGUCUUACUCAAACAUAUAUUCCCAGUGUCUAAACCAGAAGAAUCUAAGAAAUGAAUAUAACGUAUUAAUUGUAAAUGUUAUGGAUAAAUAAAAUGUAACUAACUUAUUAACAA